rnacentral:misc_RNA from 1 species
GUUGAUUCUAGUUUUGGCAAUCUAGAAGGAUUUCUAAGGGAAAGUGUCAAAGAUCUGAUUGCAGCAUGGGUUACAUUUGUGAUUUCUGUGGGCAACAAAGGUCGAUUGUGUACUGCCGCUCCGAUGCUGCAGCUUUGUGCUUGUCUUGUGACCGAAAUGUUCACUCUGCCAAUGCCUUGUCAAGGCGUCACUCGAGAACAUUGUUAUGUGAUCGGUG